GGUAAUCAAAACUUGGCCAAAUUAGCACUCAACUCCUUCUUUUCUUCAAGGUUUUGCAGUGUUAAAAUAUGGAAAUGGGAACCCAAAUUUAUGUUCUUGCAUUGAAUGUUUGAUCAGAUUCAACUUUUGUUCAUUUGUUAGAUACAUCUCUCCACACCUUUUAUUUCCAAUAUUAUAUAGGAAUGUGAAGAAAACCUUGUUUAAAUGUAAAUUAAGAAAACUUCUCUUUGUAUUGCAUACAUAAUUUCAAUUCUCAUAAGGUGUCAAAUAUUUGUA
rnacentral:lncRNA from 1 species